AUGCGCGUCGCCGCUGCUGGUCUGGGAUCAGACUCCCCCUCACGUCGUGAUGCUCCCCAAACCCCAGAUGGCUCUUCUAUGGAAUCACUGCGACAACUAGCUUUGGGAAUUCUUAUUUUUAUGAGUGUGGAACGUUCCAUGGAUUUUAAAGGCUCUUCAUGAUACCAUCAAUGCCAAUAAAUAACCUUUAUUUUUAUCUAAUGUAUUGCAUAAGUUACUUAUUCCUACUUGGCCCAUAAACUUCUAUUGUUAUUGCAUUACUCUAAACAUGUUUUUGUUUAGACAAACUUUUAGACAAAAUCAUUUUCUGGCUUGUAAUGCUUUAAUUCUCAUUUAAAUCAAACCUCAAGCUCAUUGACAAGGUCUUGUGGGAAGUUCACACCGCAGAGCUCCUUUAUGCACUGAUAUUUAUUGCCGUUUGUCUGCCAGACCAGCUUCUGAGGGAGCAUUAUCUGUCCUUCCUCCCUGGUUUGCAGCUCUGAGAACAGCCAGUGCCUCUUCCUGCAGGAUGAGGAGAUCAUAAUGAAGUGCAGAGAGGUGGUGUGCUAGCCUUGGCUGUGCCUCCACUCCCUAUUCUUUAUCUUGCCUCUGUGGGCUCUGUGUGGCUCAUUGUGAUGCCGGUGAAUGCUGAGUCCUGGCCGGCCGGUUUAUUGUCAGGUCUUGCCCUCUGCUGUGGGUCGGUGCUAGGACAAUGUGCCUUUGUCAUUUGAGCCAUGUUCACUUCCUGUCCCGCAGCCUCACUGUAGGACGAGAGCAGAGGCAAAUGAUUCCCAUGCAAAAAAUAUCGUACAGCUUCUACUUAACAAUGGUAUUAAAAUGCACAUGAAGUGCACACAGCAAUUCGUACAUAUUUUACAAGAUGGCUAAUUCGUAUGAAUUUGUACGAAUUAUCUACACCUAACCCCACCCCUAAACCUAACCGUCACUGGGCUUUAGACAAAUCGUUAAAAUCGUACGAGUGAGGUCGUACAAAUUCGAACGAAUUAGCCACCUCGUAAAAUCCGUACGAAUUGGUCGUGAAAUAGCGUUGUCUGAACAGGUGACAUCAUGGACCAUUCACACAGACAAUGAUUUGCAAUGAUAUAUAUGUAAUUAGAUUACUGUAUUAAUUAGUCUUUCUAAACAUAAUUAAAUUGCGAUUAAUAAUUAAUAAUACAAAGAUAAUACAAAUAAUAUUAAAUUGCAUACAUUAUUCACGUACUGACUGAAGUAUUUAAAGGGAGAAGGUUACAUUAAAAAAAAAUAAUAAUAAUAUAAGACAUUAAAUUUUUAUGUUAAAUCCACUACUGUUUUAUAAUUGUUCUAUUGGUCUAUAACGUAUUUAAAGCAAAUCACACCAGAAGUAACAGUAAUUACAUUGCAGAAAAAUUAAGAGUAAUUCAUUACUUUACUGGGAAAGUAAUUAAAUAAAUUAAUAAAUUAAUGACUUGGUAAUGUACUUCACUUACUGCAUGCUUGGAUAGAAUAAAAAUGCUGUAUGCAAAUCCAUUUUAGAAAUUCUCAGGAUUAAAUUGUUUUUUUUUUGUUUGCUUUUUUUUGUUUUUUUCUGAAACAUUUUAGUUAGACGUUUGAGUUAAACAAAAAUGAUAAAGUAAUAAUAAUUAUAAUUGCAGAUGGAGAUGAAUGAUUUUUUGUUUAGUUUGGUCUUCUAGGCUCUACAGCAUUUGCAGGUCUGUAUUAUUGCACUUAAGAAGCCAA
ensembl:lncRNA